UACGUAGGGUGCAAGCGUUGUCCGUAAUUAUUGGGCGUAAAGAGCUCGUAGGCGGUCUGUCGCGUCUGCUGUGAAAACUCAAGGCUUAACCCUGAGCUUGCAGUGGGUACGGGCAGACUAGAGUGCGGUAGGGGAGACUGGAAUUCCUGGUGUAGCGGUGAAAUGCGCAGAUAUCAGGAGGAACACCGGUGGCGAAGGCGGGUCUCUGGGCCGUAACUGACGCUGAGGAGCGAAAGCAUGGGGAGCGAACAGG
rnacentral:rRNA from 1 species